GCCGAGCUGGGUAACGUCAGCUUAUGACGUGAGUGGGGGCAACAAGGUGAUUGAGCGACAACCUCCGGUUCUUGACAGAAUAUGAGCUUGGUGAGCCCUUGCCCUUGAACAAUCAUUUUU
rnacentral:SRP_RNA from 1 species